rnacentral:rRNA from 1 species
AACGAACGCUGGCGGCAUGCCUAACACAUGCAAGUCGAACGAGACCUUCGGGUCUAGGGGCGCACGGGGUCGUAACGCGUGGGAACCUGCCCUUAGGUUCGGAAUAACUCUCCGAAAGGGGUGCUAAUACCGGAUAAUGUCUUCGGACCAAAGAUUUAUCGCCUUUGGAUGGGCCCGCGUUGGAUUAGCUAGUUGGUAGGGUAAAAGCCUCCCAAGGCGACGAUCCGUAAAUGGUCUGAGAGGAUGAUCAGCCACACUGGGACUGAGACACGGCCCAGACUCCUACGGGAGGCAGCAGUGGGGAAUAUUGGAACAUGGGCGAAAGCCUGAUCCAGCAAUGCCGCGUGAGUGAUGAAGGCAUUAGGGUUGUAAAGCUCUUUUACCCGUGAUGAUAAUGACAGUACCGGGAGAAUAAGCCCCGGCUAACUACGUG